rnacentral:misc_RNA from 1 species
GACAUUCGCAGACUUGAAAUUCCUAUGAAUAACAGGAGGCUGACAGACCUCAUGCAGAUACUCCAAGGCUCUUGCAGCCCCAAGAGCCAUUCUAAUGCGGGCAUUCCACGAAAGUUUCUUUCUGAACUCUUCAUCUGAGUGCAGUGCAUCCUGCAAUGUUCCACCACUACAAUACUCAUAGAUAAGAAGCCUUUCACCAUGCUCUGCACAGUAACCACUGAGCUCGACCACAUUAGCAUGCCUGAUUCUAUCGAUAUUAUUCACUAACUCAAGAAAUUCAUCAUCCUUUUGCUGACUGAAUGCUCUCUUAUCCAGUUUCUUGACGGCCAGUAACUUCCCACUGGGAAGCUGUGCCCUAUAAACACUCCCCAGCAUUCCUUCUCCUAGAAGAUUCUCUUGUGA